AUUGAACGCUGGCGGCAGGCCUAACACAUGCAAGUCGAACGGUAACAGGAAGAAGCUUGCUUCUUUGCUGACGAGUGGCGGACGGGUGAGUAAUGUCUGGGAAACUGCCUGAUGGAGGGGGAUAACUACUGGAGACGGUAGCUAAUACCGCAUAAUGUCGCAAGACCAAAGAGGGGGACCUUCGGGCCUCUUGCCAUCGGAUGUGCCCAGAUGGGAUUAGCUAGUAGGUGGGGUAACGGCUCACCUAGGCGACGAUCCCUAGCUGGUCUGAGAGGAUGACCAGCCACACUGGAACUGAGACACGGUCCAGACUCCUACGGGAGGCAGCAGUGGGGAAUAUUGCACAAUGGGCGCAAGCCUGAUGCAGCCAUGCCGCGUGUAUGAAGAAGGCCUUCGGGUUGUAAAGUACUUUCAGCGGGGAGGAAGGGAGUAAAGUUAAUACCUUUGCUCAUUGACGUUACCCGCAGAAGAAGCACCGGCUAACUCCGUG
rnacentral:rRNA from 1 species